AGGAAGAUGACAGAAUGGUAAUGUGAUUGGCUUGAAACUAGUUCAUGGGGGUUCGAUUCCCUCUCUUCUUG
rnacentral:tRNA from 1 species